rnacentral:rRNA from 1 species
UAAUCCGACCUAGGCUCAUCUGAUAGCGCAAGGCCCGAAGGUCCCCUGCUUUCUCCCGUAGGACGUAUGCGGUAUUAGCGUUCCUUUCGAGGCGUUGUCCCCCACUACCAGGCAGAUUCCUAGGCAUUACUCACCCGUCCGCCGCUGAAUUCAGGAGCAAGCUCCUGUCAUCCGCUCGACUUGCAUGUGUUAGGCCUGCCGCCAGCGUUCAAUCUGAGCCAGGAUCAAACUCU